rnacentral:rRNA from 1 species
UACGGGGGGGGCAAGCGUUGUUCGGAAUUACUGGGCGUAAAGGGCUCGUAGGCGGCCAACUAAGUCAGACGUGAAAUCCCUCGGCUUAACCGGGGAACUGCGUCUGAUACUGGAUGGCUUGAGUUUGGGAGAGGGAUGCGGAAUUCCAGGUGUAGCGGUGAAAUUCGUAGAUAUUCGGAAGAACACCAGUGGCGAAGGCGGACUCACUGGACUGGUAUUGACGCUGAGGUGCGAAAGCGUGGGGAGCAACAGG